rnacentral:tRNA from 2 species
GGGCGGUUAGCUCAGCUGGCAGAGCGUCACGUUUACACCGUGAAUGUCGGCGGUUCGAACCCGUCACCGCCCACCA